rnacentral:rRNA from 1 species
UGGGGAAUUUUGGACAAUGGGGGCAACCCUGAUCCAGCAAUGCCGCGUGUGUGAAGAAGGCCUUCGGGUUGUAAAGCACUUUUGUCCGGGAAGAAAUCGCACCUGAUAAUACCGGGUGUGGAUGACGGUACCGGAAGAAUAAGGACCGGCUAACUACGUGCCAGCAGCCGCGGUAAUACGUAGGGUCCAAGCGUUAAUCGGAAUUACUGGGCGUAAAGCGUGCGCAGGCGGUUGUGCAAGACCGAUGUGAAAUCCCCGGGCUUAACCUGGGAAUUGCAUUGGUGACUGCACGGCUAGAGUGUGUCAGAGGGGGGUAGAAUUCCACGUGUAGCAGUGAAAUGCGUAGAGAUGUGGAGGAAUACCAAUGGCGAAGGCAGCCCCCUGGGAUAACACUGACGCUCAUGCACGAAAGCGUGGGGAGCAAACAGG